GACGAACGCUGGCGGCGUGCUUAACACAUGCAAGUCGAACGGAAAGGCUCCAGCUUGCUGGAGUACUCGAGUGGCGAACGGGUGAGUAACACGUGGGUAAUCUGCCCUGCACUCUGGGAUAAGCCUGGGAAACUGGGUCUAAUACUGGAUAUGACCUUUCCCCUUAUGGGGUUUGGUGGAAAGUUUUUCGGUGUAGGAUGAGCCCGCGGCCUAUCAGCUUGUUGGUGGGGUGAUGGCCUACCAAGGCGACGACGGGUAGCCGGCCUGAGAGGGUGAUCGGCCACAUUGGGACUGAGAUACGGCCCAGACUCCUACGGGAGGCAGCAGUGGGGAAUAUUGCACAAUGGGCGGAAGCCUGAUGCAGCGACGCCGCGUGAGGGAUGACGGCCUUCGGGUUGUAAACCUCUUUCAGCAGGGACGAGGCGUAAGUGACGGUACCUGCAGAAGAAGCACCGGCUAACUACGUG
rnacentral:rRNA from 1 species